AGCUUCACCAUCUGCCUGAUAACCCUGGAAUGGAAACUUUGGGUCAUUUUUAAACUUCCCUUUCCCCUUGUCCCUCCACGUGGGUUCCCAAUUCUUGACCUUUUUUUUUUCAUGCUGAUUCCUCUCCCUGGAAUUCCAUUUGCCAUGUCCUUCCCAUCCCCUAAGGCCAAGGUAAAUGCCAACUCCAGCAUGGAGGCUGCUGGUGUUCUCAGUAAAAAGUAACUUCUGGAGCUUAACCCUACUUGCAAAAUUCUGGUGCUCUAGAGUAGACUACAUGGUGGCUCUCUUUUGUCUGGGCUAGAGGAAGGAAGAAGCCAGAGAGGUUUUGCUUUUUGUUUGUAAGAUCAAGAGCUGAACUAGCUCAGCUGACCUUCCCGCAGAGGCAUUUUCAGGCAAGUCGUUGAUACCUUCAUACAUCGCUUGGUGGGAAGAAUAGGUGGUGAAUGUGCAUCUCCUCAGAAGAGUCCUGGGCCUCUGGGAGCCUGUGGGGAGACACAGAGAGAAAGACAGAGAGACAGAAAGACUGGUAUGAGCUCUCUCCUGGGAGGAGGACGCCCAAACAUCCCACUUCUCCAUCUCCAUGAAGUGACAAAUGUGGCUGGAAAAGAUGAGAAAAAUGAGGCAGAGUGAGAUAAAAUGAUUUUUCUAAACUCAGUCACUGACAAAGCUCUCUAGCAGUGAUAUAAGGUGGGUAUCAUUAUUACCAUUUUAAGUUUUAAUAAGAAAAUCAAUGGUUGUUUCUAGAUGGCUGAAUUUGAGUGGAUUGACCCAAGAAGGAGGUAAAAUUAAUUUUUCUUUCAGAGCCAUAAUUAUUCUUUUAUUUAGGAAAAUGCAUUUAUGAGCCUGUUUGUUGUUGAAAGCAAGGUGGAAUUGAAUUUUAAACAAACACUAGGUAAGUGCUCUGCACAGUAAAAUAACAGGAAGUUUAGAGCUGCCUGCUGGUGCAUUCAGAUGGUUGAAGAACCUGUAAGAGAAGAAGGUAGGUAUGGUACAGAGAGAGGGCAAGGAGGGGGUGCUAGGUAACAGGUUAAGAACCUUCAAGGAGUGUAGUGUGAGAAAUUCCAUGGGGAGGGAAUGACCAGUGAAUUUCUUGGAACAAGGAUGUCUGACAUCUAGUGUAAAGUUUUUUUCUGUAUUUGUCAUAACUGCUCUCUGUUCAGCCUAAACCUUCAAGAAAAGAUUGCUACUCGAUUCAGAGGUAAGACGGCGGAGAAGUAGCAGGCUGAGACUACUUCUGCUAGCAGGAGAUCAGCUAGAUAGCUUAUCUAAAGAUUGCAAACACCUGCAAAUCCAUCAGCAGAUCGAAGAGAAGAAGAACAGCAAUUCUGGAAACAGAAAAACAACCACUUUCUGAAAGGAUCUGGUGGUAGCAGGAUAGCUGCUGAAGCUGCUUCCCAGCUUCAGGGAGAUGGAUUCCUAUGGAAUUGACUUCUGCUGGACACAAGUUCUUUCAGGGUCAGACGUACUCACCUAUUAUCACCACAUGGCUGCCGAUUUGUCCUUGUAGCACUUCCAUGUUUCUUCAUCCGGUUCUUUGGUGUAAUAAGGAGAAACAAGAGUUGGAGAGAGGUAAAAGCAUAGCUUUUCUAAAAGAAACAACAGGGUUUGUGUAGAAUUCCACUCCAGGUUUGGAAGAAUAAAUAUAUAAAGUGAGCCUGAAACAUCUUUUCACACCAGAGCGCAAGAAAACCAUUAAAGACUUUGGGGACUGUAUUAAAAGAUUUAGGAGCUGACUUGAAGGACUUCACUGAUCAAAGAUAGGACAAUUUGAAAAACACAAAAAAUAUAUAACUGCAAAUAGACUGAAUGAAGUUCAUAGGAUAUGUUAAUACACCUGACUUACAAUGAUAAGCAGCACAAUUGGUCACCUUUGUGAGAUGUUUGGGAAUGAAUCCAUUAUUCUAAAAAUAGGUAAAUAAGAGCAAAGAACUCAAUCUGUCACUUUUUUUUGUUUCCAUCAGAGCAACCAACUAUUUAUUGAGAGAAAGUGUUUCCUUGUAGAAAAUUCCAGUUUUGACUAACUGUAUUUUAAUGGAGAAUAUAAGAUUUAAAAUAUCAGUAUUUCCAUCUUUAAUGAGAUAAUUGAUCUAAGCAAUUAACAUCAAUGCCUGCUAAGAGCAGGAGUUGAAAAGCUGAUAGGGAACUUUGUAAUCAAUGACUUAGGCUGGCAACACCUGGACUCUUGAUCAAUAGUAACUUCAGGCACUAUGUACCUCCUGAUGGGAUGCAAUAGGAAGGACAAGGCACCACCUAUAAACUGUUCUUGCCAAAAAAAUUGAACCUAAACAUAAUCAUGCCUUCUAGUUUACCGGAAAUAUUGGGGCAUAGGGAUAGAUACAAUAUAUGGACCUUUUUUGGAUUCUGAUUUAAACAAACCAAGUACUAACAAAUAUAUUAAGCAAUAGGAAAAAUUUGAAUGCUAACUGAAUAUUUGAUGAUAUUGAGGAAUUAUUAACUUUUUCAAAUGUGAUUAUGGUAUUAUGGUUAUAUUUUUAAAAACUUUAUAUUUUUAUAGAUACAUAAUUAAAUAUUCACCUUUGAAAUAAUAAUGUCUGGGAUUUGUUUCAUAAUAAUAUAGUGUAUGUGUGGGGUAAUUGAGUAGGAAUAUAGGUGGAUAAGUAUGGCCAUGUAUUUAUAAUUAAUGAAGCUGGGUGAUGGGUAUGUGCAGUUGACUCUAGUGUUCUAUUUGGCAUAUGUUUAAUAUUUUCCAUAAUAAAAUUUGGAAAAGAAAAGAGUUAACAUUUGUCAACCACUUUUGAAUCAUUGUAAUUAUGGCUUCUGCUACCCUGGCUCUAGGCAGGGGCCUUGAUGCAAAGGCUCUGGGAGACAUAAACAAUGGAUGUGUGAAGGCUGAGCGGAGGCUGUUUUGGGAGUGAGAAGAGCAUACACAGGACCAUUGCUUUUCAGGUCUCAGCCACAGGUCUCUUUUUUCUGCUGACCCUUCUCCCAUUUUUGUCCUAUUCUGGACUGGACAGGAUUCAGUGGAACAAACUGGGAAAACUAUGGGGGAUUUGUUCUUAGGAAUUGUGACAUUGGCUCUUAAUCGGCAUACCUCUUGUUGCUGAUGCUGUGAUUCUGGGAGCUACCACCGACCACAAGUCAAUGAAACCAUUCUCUUCUACUAGUGGCUAAAACUUGAUGUCAUGUCACUGCCAAACAUAAAGUCUUGGAUCCUGUUAAAAGAUAAAGCCUGUAAAAAAUGGCAGACCCUGUAACCUAUAAAUUUUUAUGUUAAAGUUCCAGGAGAAAACUCAUUGUGUGAGCAUUCUGCUAUCCAUCUGGAGAUGGCCA